UGGAUAGAUUAUUGUAUUCGACUGUAUUCACGGUGUGAAACAGGGGAUUACACUGUUUUUAAACGGAAAGUGAAUCAAUUAACAUAAUUGACUCAU
rnacentral:pre_miRNA from 1 species